rnacentral:rRNA from 1 species
GGAUUAGAUACCCUGGUAGUCCACGCUGUAAACGAUGAAUACUCGAUGUUGGGUCUAAUUAAGGAUUCAGCGUCUAAGCGAAAGCGUUAAGUAUUCCACCUGGGGAGUACGGCCGCAAGGUUAAAACUCAAAGGAAUUGACGGGGGCCCGCACAAGCGGAGGAGCAUGUGGUUUAAUUCGAUGAUACGCGAGGAACCUUACCUGGGCUAGAAUGUUAGUGACGAUAUCAGAAAUGGUAUUUUCCUUCGGGACACAAAACAAGGUGCUGCAUGGCUGUCGUCAGCUCGUGCCG